CUUUUUAUUCCAUUUAUUCCACACUGUUACUGUUAUUGUGUAAGACACAACAUUACUGCAACAGUUAAACACAAGUAUUCUGACCCUUCAGUUUUAGUUUUGAUUCAAUUUAAGAUGGAACAAAUGCACAUUUUGACCAUCAGUCUUCAUAUCAUAACCCAAAACCACAAGUUCUAGCUUUCAGGUUGUAGCCUUGAUGAAUAGUGGAACAUUACAUGAACUCUGGAGCAGGUUUUCUUUAAGGACGUCUCUGUAUUUGUCUGUAUUCUUUCUCUCUCCCAGUUCUUGCCCCUCAGAAACCUUCCCACAGCAUGAUGCUGCCACCACCAUGCUUCAUCAUAGCAAUAGUUGUCAGGAUCCAGCCCGGACUUUGGCCACGUGCUUUUGUUUAUGUUCUGUGUCACGUGUCUGCCCCGCCCUUGUCUCUUCCUCCCCGCCUCUGCACAUCUGUUCCUCAUGUGUUCAAUUGUGUUGUGUAUUUAACCGUGCCGCGUUGCCUAUUGCAGCACGGAAUCCUCGUCUUAUGCCGUCUCGUCUCGUGUCUAGUCUGGUAUCGUCUGCAUCCUUGUUUUGUGUUUUUUAGUUAAUAAAUCCUGUUUAUUUUUUGCCAUCCUGAAUUUGGGUCUGUUUUUAUCCCUGCGUUACUGACAAUAGUACUAGCCAGUUAAUGAUGUUAAUGAUCUGGUUUACAUAGAUGUGGUACUUGGGAGUUCAGCAUAGAGUUCAGUUUUGUCUCAUCAGUUCAGAGAAUGUUGUUUGUCAUGUUCUCAGAGACUUUUAAGUGCCUGUCAUAUGGCUUUAACUCAGGAGUGGUUUCUGUCUAGCCACACAACCCUACAGACCUAAUAGAUGAAGUACUUCUGAGAUGGUUUGACCUCCAGCAGGUUCUGUCCUCUCUGUGGAGGACUUCUAAAGCUCUAAUUAGCGUGUUCACUGGGGUUUUAGUCACCUCCCUGACCAAGGCCCUUCUAGAAAUGGUUACUGAGUUUAGUCAGACAUUCAGCUGGAAGAAGAGACCUGGACGUGUGAACAGAACGGUGUAUAACAGAGACGUGUGAUUCACUGCCACUGGAACGGGAUCUUAAAGGAGUGUGUGCUGAUGGUAGACAGUAGAAGAGAGAGCUGAAGUCUGGAGGACGUUUCAGUUCUUCUGCUUUCACUUCUGUAUCUGAGGAGGUUUUUGUACGGGUGAGGACACUGAAUGAAUCACUGUGGUAUUCGGCCAAGGAACAAAGCUGAUCGUCAGCAGUAAGUAAAACUUCUCACCUCUUUUUUCCUACUCUAGACUUCUACACUGCUUCAGAUUCACACUUUUAUUUCUUUUCCCAGUUUGAGAAAUUUAUUCCGACACGUUUCGUACGUCUUUUAUUGUUUGUUUUAGACAAUUUACAAUAUUCUGUACUUUUAACAUGUGAGCCAGAGAAAUGUUCAGUUAUUUUCUCGGGUUGUAAUUAGUUUGAAAUGUAUUUCUAUUAUUAAAUGUUAAUUCAGAUCUCUCAUAUGGAAUCUGUCUCAACACAAAGUAUAAAUCUGUUCUAGUUCUUCAUUUUGUUCCUGAUCUUCUGCCACACAGACAGAUUUAUGGCUUCAUUGUGAACGGAAGCAUUUCUUUAAAAAUGUCUUAGAUUCCUGUGUGCACAUUAGAUUUGUGUUGUUUUGUGUAAUGAUUAUCUCCCUCUGUGUGUGGAAUCAGACGCUGCUCUCCCGUCUCCUGUUCUGAAGGUUCUCCCUCCGUCCACUGAAGAGCUGAAGACUAAUAAAGCCACUCUAGUGUGUUUGGCCAGCGACAUGUCUGUGGGUUUCGCUGACGUGAGUUGGCUCGUGGACGGGAAAUCG